rnacentral:rRNA from 1 species
GUUAUAUGGUCAAGUGAAGAAGCGCAUACGGUGGAUGCCUUGGCAGUCAGAGGCGAUGAAAGACGUGGUAGCCUGCGAAAAGCUUCGGGGAGUCGGCAAACAGACUUUGAUCCGGAGAUGUCUGAAUGGGGGAACCCAGCCAUCAUAAGAUGGUUAUCUUGUACUGAAUACAUAGGUGCAAGAGGCGAACCAGGGGAACUGAAACAUCUAAGUACCCUGAGGAAAAGAAAUCAACCGAGAUUCCCUUAGUAGUGGCGAGCGAACGGGGACUAGCCCUUAAGUGGCUUUGAGAUUAGCGGAACGCUCUGGAAAGUGCGGCCAUAGUGGGUGAUAGCCCUGUACGCGAAAAUCUCUUAGUCAUGAAAUCGAGUAGGACGGAGCACGAGAAACUUUGUCUGAAUAUGGGGGGACCAUCCUCCAAGGCUAAAUACUACUGACUGACCGAUAGUGAACUAGUACCGUGAGGGAAAGGCGAAAAGAACCCCGGAGAGGGGAGUGAAAUAGAUCCUGAAACCGUAUGCGUACAAGCAGUGGGAGCAGACUUUGUUCUGUGACUGCGUACCUUUUGUAUAAUGGGUCAGCGACUUAUUUUCAGUGGCGAGCUUAACCGAAUAGGGGAGGCGUAGCGAAAGCGAGUCUUAAUAGGGCGUCUAGUCGCUGGGAAUAGACCCGAAACCGGGCGAUCUAUCCAUGGGCAGGUUGAAGGUUAGGUAACACUGACUGGAGGACCGAACCGACUACCGUUGAAAAGUUAGCGGAUGACCUGUGGAUCGGAGUGAAAGGCUAAUCAAGCUCGGAGAUAGCUGGUUCUCCUCGAAAGCUAUUUAGGUAGCGCCUCAUGUAUCACUGUAGGGGGUAGAGCACUGUUUCGGCUAGGGGGUCAUCCCGACUUACCAAACCGAUGCAAACUCCGAAUACCUACAAGUGCCGAGCAUGGGAGACACACGGCGGGUGCUAACGUCCGUCGUGAAAAGGGAAACAACCCAGACCGUCAGCUAAGGUCCCAAAGUUAUGGUUAAGUGGGAAACGAUGUGGGAAGGCUUAGACAGCUAGGAGGUUGGCUUAGAAGCAGCCACCCUUUAAAGAAAGCGUAAUAGCUCACUAGUCGAGUCGGCCUGCGCGGAAGAUGUAACGGGGCUCAAACCAUACACCGAAGCUACGGGUAUCACGUAAGUGAUGCGGUAGAGGAGCGUUCUGUAAGCCUGUGAAGGUGAGUUGAGAAGCUUGCUGGAGGUAUCAGAAGUGCGAAUGCUGACAUGAGUAACGACAAUGGGUGUGAAAAACACCCACGCCGAAAGACCAAGGUUUCCUGCGCAACGUUAAUCGACGCAGGGUUAGUCGGUCCCUAAGGCGAGGCUGAAAAGCGUAGUCGAUGGAAAACAGGUUAAUAUUCCUGUACUUCUGGUUAUUGCGAUGGAGGGACGGAGAAGGCUAGGCCAGCUUGGCGUUGGUUGUCCAAGUUUAAGGUGGUAGGCUGGAAUCUUAGGUAAAUCCGGGAUUCCAAGGCCGAGAGCUGAUGACGAGUUGCCAUUAGGCGACGAAGUGGUUGAUGCCAUGCUUCCAAGAAAAGCUUCUAAGCUUCAGGUAACCAGGAACCGUACCCCAAACCGACACAGGUGGUUGGGUAGAGAAUACCAAGGCGCUUGAGAGAACUCGGGUGAAGGAACUAGGCAAAAUGGCACCGUAACUUCGGGAGAAGGUGCGCCGGUGAGGGUGAAGGACUUGCUCCGUAAGCCCAUGCCGGUCGAAGAUACCAGGCCGCUGCGACUGUUUAUUAAAAACACAGCACUCUGCAAACACGAAAGUGGACGUAUAGGGUGUGACGCCUGCCCGGUGCCGGAAGGUUAAUUGAUGGGGUUAGCUAACGCGAAGCUCUUGAUCGAAGCCCCGGUAAACGGCGGCCGUAACUAUAACGGUCCUAAGGUAGCGAAAUUCCUUGUCGGGUAAGUUCCGACCUGCACGAAUGGCGUAACGAUGGCGGCGCUGUCUCCACCCGAGACUCAGUGAAAUUGAAAUCGCUGUGAAGAUGCAGUGUAUCCGCGGCUAGACGGAAAGACCCCGUGAACCUUUACUAUAGCUUUGCACUGGACUUUGAAUUUGCUUGUGUAGGAUAGGUGGGAGGCUUUGAAGCGUGAACGCCAGUUUGCGUGGAGCCAUCCUUGAAAUACCACCCUGGCAACUUUGAGGUUCUAACUCAGGUCCGUUAUCCGGAUCGAGGACAGUGUAUGGUGGGUAGUUUGACUGGGGCGGUCUCCUCCUAAAGAGUAACGGAGGAGUACGAAGGUGCGCUCAGACCGGUCGGAAAUCGGUCGUAGAGUAUAAAGGCAAAAGCGCGCUUGACUGCGAGACAGACACGUCGAGCAGGUACGAAAGUAGGUCUUAGUGAUCCGGUGGUUCUGUAUGGAAGGGCCAUCGCUCAACGGAUAAAAGGUACUCCGGGGAUAACAGGCUGAUACCGCCCAAGAGUUCAUAUCGACGGCGGUGUUUGGCACCUCGAUGUCGGCUCAUCACAUCCUGGGGCUGAAGCCGGUCCCAAGGGUAUGGCUGUUCGCCAUUUAAAGUGGUACGCGAGCUGGGUUUAGAACGUCGUGAGACAGUUCGGUCCCUAUCUGCCGUGGACGUUUGAGAUUUGAGAGGGGCUGCUCCUAGUACGAGAGGACCGGAGUGGACGAACCUCUGGUGUUCCGGUUGUCACGCCAGUGGCAUUGCCGGGUAGCUAUGUUCGGAAAAGAUAACCGCUGAAAGCAUCUAAGCGGGAAACUUGCCUCAAGAUGAGAUCUCACUGGAACCUUGAGUUCCCUGAAGGGCCGUCGAAGACUACGACGUUGAUAGGUUGGGUGUGUAAGCGCUGUGAGGCGUUGAGCUAACCAAUACUAAUUGCCCGUGAGGCUUGACCAUAUAACACCCAAGCAAUU